rnacentral:rRNA from 1 species
AUUGAACGCUGGCGGCAUGCUCUACACAUGCAAGUCGAACGGUAACAGGCCGCAAGGUGCUGACGAGUGGCGAACGGGUGAGUAAUGCAUCGGAACGUGCCCAGUCGUGGGGGAUAACGCAGCGAAAGCUGCGCUAAUACCGCAUACGAUCUCUGGAUGAAAGCGGGGGACCGAAAGGCCUCGCGCGAUUGGAGCGGCCGAUGUCAGAUUAGGUAGUUGGUGGGGUAAAGGCCCACCAAGCCAACGAUCUGUAGCUGGUCUUAGAGGACGACCGGCCACACAGGGACUGAAACACGGCCCGGACUCGUACGGGAGGCGACAGUGGGGAAUUUUGGACAAUGGGCGCAAGCCUGAGCCAGCACUGCCGCGUGCAGGAAGAAGGCCUUCGGGUUGUAAACUGCUUUUGUACGGAACGAAACGGUCCGGGUUAAUACCCUGGGCUAAUGACGGUACCGUAAGAAUAAGCACCGGCUAACUACGUGCCAGCCGCCGCGGUAA